AAUAAAAGUUAAUUCUAGCUUUGAUAUUUAUUUAAAAUUUAUUGUUUAUAAAAAUUUUUGUAUAAUAAAUAAUAAAAUUUUAAAAAUUUUAUUAUAUAUUUAUAUUUAUUAUAGAAUAUAAAAUUAAAUAAUUAAAGAAAUUUAGAUUUAGUAAUAUUUAAAAUUAUUGAUUAAUUUUGUGCCAGCAAUCGCGGUUAUACUAAAAAUAAGUUUAAAUAUUAAUUUUAUUAAUUAAUAAUAAAUAAUUAAUUUUUUUAAUUUAAAUUGAAAUUUAUUAGGUUAAAUUUUUAAAUUUUAAUUAAUUUAAUAUUUUUAAUUUUUAUGAAGUUUAAAAAAUAAUUUAUUAAACUAGGAUUAGAUACCCUAUUAUAUUAAUUAAAAAAAUUUAAAAUAAAGUAGUAUAAGUUAUAGUCUUAAAACUUAAAGAAUAUGGCGGUAUUUUAUUCUAUUUAGAGGAACCUGUUUAUUAAUUGAUUAUCCACAAAUAAUUUUACUUAACUUAUUAAAUUUAUAUAUUGUUGUUAUAAAAAUAUUUUUUAGAAAUUAAAAAUUUUAAUAUUUUUAUAAAAAAUUAUAUCAAAUCAUCAUGUAGUUUAUAGUUAAGAAUUUAAUGGGUUAUAAUAAAAAAAAUUUUUGGAAAAUUAUGAGAAUAAAUAAUUUUGAAAUUAGAUUUAAUAGUAAUUUAAUUUAAUUAAUUUUAAUGAUAUAAGUUCUAAAAUAUGCACAUAUUGCCCGUCAUUUUCAUUUUAAAUUGAAACAAGUCGUAACAAAGUAGAAGUACUGGAAAGUGUUUCUAGAAAGAC
rnacentral:ncRNA from 1 species